rnacentral:rRNA from 1 species
CCCUUAGAUGUUCUGGGCCGCACGCGCGCUACACUGAUGCAUUCAACGAGCCUAUCCUUGACCGACAGGUCCGGGUAAUCUUUGAAUCUGCAUCGCGACGGGGAUAGAUUAUUGCAAUUAUUAAUCUUCAACGAGGAAUGCCUAGUAGGCGCAAGUCAUCAGCUUGCGUCGAUUACGUCCCUGCCCUUUGUACACACCGCCCGUCGCUCCUACCGAUUGGGUGUGCUGGUGAAAUGUUCGGAUCGGCCGUUUGUCGCGGUUUCCGCGGCUCGUGGCUGAGAAGUUCAUUAAACCCUCCCACCUAGAGGAAGGAGAAGUCGUAACA